AACGAACGCUGGCGGCAUGCCUAACACAUGCCAGUCGAACGAGACCUUCGUGUCUUGUGGCGCUCGGGUGCGUAACGCGUGGUAACCUGCCCUUAGGUUCGGUAUAACUCCCCGUAAGGUGUCCUAAUACCGGUUAAUGUCUUCCGACCAAAGGUUUCUCGCCUUUGGAUGGGCCCGCGUUGGUUUCGCGAGUUGGUAGGGGAAAAGCCUACUAACGCGACGUUCCAUAUCUGGUCUGGGACGAUGAUCAGCCACACUGGUACUAAGACACGGCCCAGACUGCGAGGGGAGGGAGCAGUGGGGAAUAAUGGAAAAUGGGCGAAAGCCUGAUACAGCAAGGCCGCGUGAGAGAGGAAGGCCGUAGGGUUGUAAAGCUGUUUUACACGGGAUGAUAAUGACAGUACCGGGAGAAUAAGCACCGGCUAACUCCGUG
rnacentral:rRNA from 1 species